rnacentral:rRNA from 1 species
AGUGAACGCUGGCGGUAGGCCUAACACAUGCAAGUCGAACGGCAGCACAGUAAGAGCUUGCUCUUACGGGUGGCGAGUGGCGGACGGGUGAGGAAUACAUCGGAAUCUACUUUUUCGUGGGGGAUAACGUAGGGAAACUUACGCUAAUACCGCAUACGACCUACGGGUGAAAGCAGGGGAUCUUCGGACCUUGCGCGAUUGAAUGAGCCGAUGUCGGAUUAGCUAGUUGGCGGGGUAAAGGCCCACCAAGGCGGCGAUCCGUAGCUGGUCUGAGAGGAUGAUCAGCCACACUGGAACUGAGACACGGUCCAGACUCCUACGGGAGGCAGCAGUGGGGAAUGUUGGACAAUGGGCGCAAGCCUGAUCCAGCCAUACCGCGUGGGUGAAGAAGGCCUUCGGGUUGUAAAGCCCUUUUGUUGGGAAAGAAAAGCAGCAGGUUAAUACCCCGCUGUUCUGACGGUACCCAAAGAAUAAGCACCGGCUAACUUCGUG